UGGGGAAUAUUGCGCAAUGGGGGGAACCCUGACGCAGCCAUGCCGCGUGAAUGAAGAAGGCCUUCGGGUUGUAAAGUGCUUUCGGUGAUGAGGCAGGUAACAUUGUUAAUACCAAUGUUAAUUGCCGUUAAUUACAGAAGAAGCCCCGGUUAACUCCGUGCCAGCAGCCGCGGUAAUACGGAGGGUGCGAGCGUUAAUCGGAAUAACUGGGCGUAAAGGGCACGCAGGCGGAUUUUUAAGUGAGGUGUGAAAGCCCCGGGCUUAACCUGGGAAUUGCAUUUCAGACUGGGAAUCUAGAGUACUUUAGGGAGGGGUAGAAUUCCACGUGUAGCGGUGAAAUGCGUAGAGAUGUGGAGGAAUACCGAAGGCGAAGGCAGCCCCUUGGGAAUGUACUGACGCUCAUGUGCGAAAGCGUGGGGAGCAAACAGG
rnacentral:rRNA from 1 species